rnacentral:rRNA from 1 species
AUGGAAAGCUUGCCACUGACGGUGCUGGACACCUGCAAGAAAGCGCUGGGCACGGCAGCCUCGGUGGCCGGCUACGUGAUGCUGGCGCGCGGCAUGGCGCGCGGCAUGGCGCGGGACAUCCUCCCUCCCGAGCUGCGUGCCGCGCUCGGCCGGGCCGCAGCGUUCGUGCGCGCCCCACUGGGCGCUUCUGACAAGGAGCGGCACGCCCUCGUCAUCCGCCGCGACUUCGACUCCGGGUACAGCGAGAACGAGCUCUUCGACGCCGCGCGCAAGUACCUGACCACCAAGAUCAGCCCGCGCACCACGCCGUGUCUCGGCCUCGGUCUCUUCCCCGUGGAGCCUGACCGGAGCAGCAGCAGCUGGAGCACGCUUCUGUGCCUGGAAUACGACGGCUCCACCAGCGACCACUUCGACGGCGUCGACGUCGUGUGGAAGUAUGUGCGCGCAGGCCGCGGCGAGGACGGCACCACCGGGGAGUACUUCAAGCUCAGCUUCGACGCCAAGGACGCCGACACGGUGAGCGAGCGGUACGUACCCUUCGUCAUGUCCACCGCGGAGCAGCUGCGGAUGCGUGCCCGCGCGCUGAAGAUCUCCAAGAACGACGGGGCAUCGUGGCAGCACGGCAUCAACUACCACCACCCCGCCACCUUCGCCACGCUCGCCAUGGACCCGUCGCUCAAGCAGGCCGUCAUGGACGACCUCGACCGCUUCCUGAAGCGGAAGGAGUAUUACUUGCGGAUCGGCAAGCCGUGGAAGCGCGGGUACCUGCUCUACGGCCCGCCCGGGACCGGCAAGUCAAGCCUGGUCGCCGCCAUGGCCAACUACCUUCGGUUCAACCUCUACGACCUCGACCUUUCCGUGGUGCCCGACAACUCAGCGCUCCAGAUGCUGCUCAUCAACAUGCGCAACAAAUCCAUCCUCGUCAUCGAGGACAUCGACUGCUGCUUCGACGCCAAGAAGUCAAGGGAAGAGGAAGGCAGCCGCAACAUGCCGGAGCCGGCCGCCGACCCCGACAACACCCCCCGGCGGCAGCGACCACAACGAAAGCAGAAUACUGUAACGCUGUCCGGGCUGCUCAACUUCAUCGACGGGCUGUGGUCGACGAGCGGCGAGGAGCGCAUCAUCAUCUUCACCACCAACUACAAGGAGCGCCUCGAUCAGGCCCUGCUGCGGCCAGGGCGCAUGGACAUGCACGUCGAAAUGGGCUACUGCCGCUGGGAGGCGUUCAGGACGCUGGCCCGGAACUACCACCUCGUCGACGACCACCCUCUGUUUCCGGAGAUACAGCAACUGCUUAAAGCGGUGGACGUGACACCGGCCGAGGUGUCCGAAAUGCUGCUCCGGAAGGAGGACGCCGGCCAAGCGCUGCAGGUGCUUAAGCAAUUCCUCGAGGGCAAGAAAACCAAUGCAAAAAAGGAGGCGCCAGAAAUGAAAAACGAAGAAGCAGACAAGGCGAUGUAG